rfam:Dipodomys ordii contig_59929, whole genome shotgun sequence.
GGGAAUGUGGCUUAGUGGUAGAGUGCUUGCCUAGCAUGCAAUGAAGCCCUGGGUUCAAUUCCUCAGUACCA